UACGUAGGGGGCAAGCGUUGUCCGGAAUCAUUGGGCGUAAAGAGCGCGUAGGCGGUCCGGUAAGUCCGCUGUGAAAGUCAAGGGCUCAACCCUUGAAUGCCGGUGGAUACUGUCGGGCUAGAGUCCGGAAGAGGAGAGUGGAAUUCCUGGUGUAGCGGUGAAAUGCGCAGAUAUCAGGAAGAACACCCGUGGCGAAGGCGGCUCUCUGGGACGGUACUGACGCUGAGACGCGAAAGCGUGGGGAGCGAACAGG
rnacentral:rRNA from 1 species